rnacentral:rRNA from 1 species
GAUGAACGCUGGCGGCGUGCCUAAUACAUGCAAGUCGAGCGAACGGACGAGAAGCUUGCUUCUCUGAUGUUAGCAGCGGACGGGUGAGUAACACGUGGAUAACCUACCUAUAAGACUGGGAUAACUUCGGGAAACCGGAGCUAAUACCGGAUAAUAUUUUGAACCGCAUGGUUCAAAAGUGAAAGACGGUCUUGCUGUCACUUAUAGGUGGAUCCGCGCUGCAUUAGCUAGUUGGUAAGGUAACGGCUUACCAAGGCAACGAUGCAUAGCCGACCUGAGAGGGUGAUCGGCCACACUGGAACUGAGACACGGUCCAGACUCCUACGGGAGGCAGCAGUAGGGAAUCUUCCGCAAUGGGCGAAAGCCUGACGGAGCAACGCCGCGUGAGUGAUGAAGGUCUUCGGAUCGUAAAACUCUGUUAUUAGGGAAGAACAUAUGUGUAAGUAACUGUGCACAUCUUGACGGUACCUAAUCAGAAAGCCACGGCUAACUACGUG